UUGGGGGGAGAAUCUCAAAACUGGGGCAGGGGGAAUCCCAAAAUCUGGGGAGAAAUUUGAAAUUUAGGAGGGAAAUCCCAAAAUUUGGGGGAAAUUCGAAAAUCUGGGAGGGGAAAUCCCGAAGUCUGGGAGGGGAAAUCCUAAAAUUGGAGGGGAAAUCCUAAAAUCAGGGGAGAAUUCCCCAAAUCAGGGCAGAAUUCCCAAAAUUUUUGGGGAAAUCCUGAAAUCCGGGGGGAAAUCUUGAAACUGGGAGGGGAAAUCCCAAAACCAGGGGAGAAAUCCCAAAAUUUUGAGGGCAAAAUCCCAAACUGAGGGGAGGAAAAUCCUAAAACUGGAUGGGAAAUCCCCAAAAAAUUGGGAGAGGGACCCCAAAAUCGAUGUGGGAGCCCCAAAAUUGGAGGAGACCCCAAAAUCCCGGGGUUUUAUUGGGGUUUUCCCCCAAAUUUUGGGGUCCCCCCCUGAUUUUGGGGUCCCCCCAGGUGCCUUCAAGUCCCUGGACCGGGACGGGUCGGGGCAGAUCCGCGUCAGCCUGCAGGAGUGGCUGCAGCUCACCAUGUACUCCUGAGGGGACCCCCCAGGACCUUCCAGGACCCCCCAGGACACCCCAAAACCUCCUCGGACACUCCAGGACCCCCCCAAAACCUCCCUGGACCCUCCAGCUGCACCCCUGGCUUCCACAAUCUGCACCCCCUCCCCAAAUAAAAACCCCCCAGCCUCGCUUGGUA